rnacentral:rRNA from 1 species
AGUGAACGCUGGCGGUAGGCCUAACACAUGCAAGUCGAACGGCAGCACAGUAAGAGCUUGCUCUUACGGGUGGCGAGUGGCGGACGGGUGAGGAAUACAUCGGAAUCUACUUUUUCGUGGGGGAUAACGUAGGGAAACUUACGCUAAUACCGCAUACGACCUACGGGUGAAAGCAGGGGAUCUUCGGACCUUGCGCGAUUGAAUGAGCCGAUGUCGGAUUAGCUAGUUGGCGGGGUAAAGGCCCACCAAGGCGACGAUCCGUAGCUGGUCUGAGAGGAUGAUCAGCCACACUGGUACUGAGACACGGUCCAGACUCCUACGGGGGGCAGCAGUGGGGAAUAUUGGACAAUGGGCGCAAGCCUGAUCCAGCCAUACCGCGUGGGUGAAGAAGGCCUUCGGGUUGUAAAGCCCUUUUGUUGGGAAAGAAAAGCAGCAGGUUAAUACCCCGCUGUUCUGACGGUACCCAAAGAAUAAGCACCGGCUAACUUCGUG